AACAGACGAGGAGCUUGCUCCUCUGACGUUAGCGGCGGACGGGUGAGUAACACGUGGAUAACCUACCUAUAAGACUGGGAUAACUUCGGGAAACCGGAGCUAAUACCGGAUAAUAUAUUGAACCGCAUGGUUCAAUAGUGAAAGACGGUUUUGCUGUCACUUAUAGAUGGAUCCGCGCCGCAUUAGCUAGUUGGUAAGGUAACGGCUUACCAAGGCAACGAUGCGUAGCCGACCUGAGAGGGUGAUCGGCCACACUGGAACUGAGACACGGUCCAGACUCCUACGGGAGGCAGCAGUAGGGAAUCUUCCGCAAUGGGCGAAAGCCUGACGGAGCAACGCCGCGUGAGUGAUGAAGGUCUUCGGAUCGUAAAACUCUGUUAUUAGGGAAGAACAAAUGUGUAAGUAACUAUGCACGUCUUGACGGUACCUAAUCAGAAAGCCACGGCUAACUACGUGCCAGCAGCCGCGGUAAUACGUAGGUGGCAAGCGUUAUCCGGAAUUAUUGGGCGUAAAGCGCGCGUAGGCGGUUUUUUAAGUCUGAUGUGAAAGCCCACGGCUCAACCGUGGAGGGUCAUUGGAAACUGGAAAACUUGAGUGCAGAAGAGGAAAGUGGAAUUCCAUGUGUAGCGGUGAAAUGCGCAGAGAUAUGGAGGAACACCAGUGGCGAAGGCGACUUUCUGGUCUG
rnacentral:rRNA from 1 species